rnacentral:rRNA from 1 species
AAAUUGAAGAGUUUGAUCAUGGCUCAGAUUGAACGCUGGCGGCAGGCCUAACACAUGCAAGUCGAGCGGUAGCACAGAGAGCUUGCUCUCGGGUGACGAGCGGCGGACGGGUGAGUAAUGUCUGGGAAACUGCCUGAUGGAGGGGGAUAACUACUGGAAACGGUAGCUAAUACCGCAUAACGUCGCAAGACCAAAGUGGGGGACCUUCGGGCCUCAUGCCAUCAGAUGUGCCCAGAUGGGAUUAGCUAGUAGGUGGGGUAACGGCUCACCUAGGCGACGAUCCCUAGCUGGUCUGAGAGGAUGACCAGCCACACUGGAACUGAGACACGGUCCAGACUCCUACGGGAGGCAGCAGUGGGGAAUAUUGCACAAUGGGCGCAAGCCUGAUGCAGCCAUGCCGCGUGUGUGAAGAAGGCCUUCGGGUUGUAAAGCACUUUCAGCGGGGAGGAAGGCGGUGAGGUUAAUAACCUCAUCGAUUGACGUUACCCGCAGAAGAAGCACCGGCUAACUCCGUGCCAGCAGCCGCGGUAAUACGGAGGGUGCAAGCGUUAAUCGGAAUUACUGGGCGUAAAGCGCACGCAGGCGGUCUGUCAAGUCGGAUGUGAAAUCCCCGGGCUCAACCUGGGAACUGCAUUCGAAACUGGCAGGCUAGAGUCUUGUAGAGGGGGGUAGAAUUCCAGGUGUAGCGGUGAAAUGCGUAGAGAUCUGGAGGAAUACCGGUGGCGAAGGCGGCCCCCUGGACAAAGACUGACGCUCAGGUGCGAAAGCGUGGGGAGCAAACAGGAUUAGAUACCCUGGUAGUCCACGCCGUAAACGAUGUCGAUUUGGAGGUUGUGCCCUUGAGGCGUGGCUUCCGGAGCUAACGCGUUAAAUCGACCGCCUGGGGAGUACGGCCGCAAGGUUAAAACUCAAAUGAAUUGACGGGGGCCCGCACAAGCGGUGGAGCAUGUGGUUUAAUUCGAUGCAACGCGAAGAACCUUACCUGGUCUUGACAUCCACAGAACUUAGCAGAGAUGCUUGGUGCCUUCGGGAACUGUGAGACAGGUGCUGCAUGGCUGUCGUCAGCUCGUGUUGUGAAAUGUUGGGUUAAGUCCCGCAACGAGCGCAACCCUUAUCCUUUGUUGCCAGCGGUUAGGCCGGGAACUCAAAGGAGACUGCCAGUGAUAAACUGGAGGAAGGUGGGGAUGACGUCAAGUCAUCAUGGCCCUUACGACCAGGGCUACACACGUGCUACAAUGGCAUAUACAAAGAGAAGCGACCUCGCGAGAGCAAGCGGACCUCAUAAAGUAUGUCGUAGUCCGGAUUGGAGUCUGCAACUCGACUCCAUGAAGUCGGAAUCGCUAGUAAUCGUAGAUCAGAAUGCUACGGUGAAUACGUUCCCGGGCCUUGUACACACCGCCCGUCACACCAUGGGAGUGGGUUGCAAAAGAAGUAGGUAGCUUAACCUUCGGGAGGGCGCUUACCACUUUGUGAUUCAUGACUGGGGUGAAGUCGUAACAAGGUAACCGUAGGGGAACCUGCGGUUGGAUCACCUCCUUA